CUAUAAAUAACAUAAUAAAAUGUAUAUGGUUUCGGCCCAUAAUUUAAAGGUAAUUAGUCUUUUUUUAUAGG
rnacentral:tRNA from 1 species